rnacentral:lncRNA from 13 species
UUUACAAUCGGCUUUUUCUCUUUUUGCUCAGUACUACUUCCUGUCACCAUGUGAAGAAGGAUGUGUUUGCUUCACCUUCUGCCAUAAUUGUAAUUUUCCUGAGGCCUCCCCAACCUUGCAGAACUACUUCCUGUUCCUUGAUGCUCAAGAGAGGGAGAAAAAAAGACAAGAUAAGUCUAUAGUGGACCUUGGCACUUGGAAAUGUAAGUUCUGUCUUUUACCUAUUUUCAGAAAG